rnacentral:rRNA from 1 species
UCUUAUUGAGAGUUUGAUCCUAGCUCAGGAUGAACGCUGGUGGCAUGCUUAACACAUGCGAGUUAAUCAAAAAGUCAUAAAAUAUAUAUAUAUAUUUUAUUUCAGUGGCGUACUGGUGAGUAAUACAUUAGAACUAUCCUUUUAUUUAUAUUAUUAGAUAGUCUUAUGACUUAUUAGCUAGUUGGUAUAGUAAUUGUUUACCAAGGCAAAAAAAAGUAGUUGGUCUUAUAAGGAUGAUCAACCACAUGGAAUUAAAGUAUAUCCAAUCUCUUUUUAUAGCAGCAGUGAGGAAUUUUUCGCAAUGGGCAAAAGCUUGACGGACACAAUGACACGUGUAGGUAGAGACCUUUGGGUCAUGAACUUCUUUUUUUGGAAAAGAAAAAAAAAUGACAGUAUUCAAAGAAUAAACAUCGGCUAACUCUGUGCCAGCAGCCGCGGUAAUACAGAGGAUGUAAGCGUUAUCCAGAAUCAAUGGGCGUAAAGUGUUUGUAGGUUACUUUUUAAGUCUAUCGUAAAAUACUGGAGCUUUACUUCAGUCCAUAUAAAUAUGCGAAGGAAACUAAAAAGUUAGAGAGUAAUGUUUAGGCAGAGGGAAUUUUUGGGGUAGUGGUGAAAUGCAUAUAUAUCAUAAGGAACAUUAAUAGUGAAAACACUCCGCUGUAAUGACACUGACACUGAGAGACGAAAGCUUUGGUAUCAAAUAGGAUUAGAAACCCUAGUAGUCUAAGCCGUAAACGAUGGAUACUAAGCUAAACAAACAGAACAUAACUAUAUUUUUAUUGUUAAAAACAUUAUUUGUAUGGAAUUAUUACCUUGUGUAGCUGUAGCUAACGCAUUAAGUAUCCUGCCUGGGUAGUACGUUUGCAAAAAUAAAACUUAAAGGAAUUGACGGGGGCUCAUACAAGCAAUGGAGCAUGUGGUUUAAUUCGAUGUAAACCGAGGAAUCUUACCAAGCUUGACAUACCAUAUAAAGGUUUUUUUACUGGGUACAGGCGGCGCAUGGCUGAUAUAAGUUCGUGCUAUAGAGUAAAAAUUAUGAUUAAAUUCAUAAACGAGUGAAGUUUAUAUAUUUAGCUUUUAUUUUAAUAAUUAAAAUAAAAAUUUAAUAAUUACUAUAAAUAAAAUAUAUUUAUAAAAAAUUUAAUAAUUUUUUUGGGUGGAUAACGUCAAGUCAUCAUGCCCCAAAAGUUUUGGGCGACACACAUGCUACAUUAGAUGGUACAAAUAAAUUGUAAAAAAAAUUAUCUUUUUCGGAUUGUAGACUGAAAUUCGUCUUCAUGAAGUUGGAAUUGCUAGUAAUCGCCAUUUAGUCAUAUGGUGGUGAAUUUUUUAGUUCUUGAGCCUUGUACAUACCGCCCGUCACACUAAAAAAAUUUGUUAUAUCAAAAAUUUAAAUAAUUUAAAUAAAAGCUAAUAAUUAUAGUGAAGUCGUAACAAGGUAGACAUACUGGAAGGUGUGGCUGGAUCAUCUUCUUU